rnacentral:lncRNA from 1 species
CAUAACAUUGGUCAAGUGCAAAAUCUUUUUUUUGUUCUUCCCUAGACUCUACUGACACUGGUGAAUAUUAGCAUACUGUGCUCUAAGCUCCUGAUUUAGCAUCAACUGAUCUUCUAGAAAUGGGCCAGGCCCUUGGGUGCAACCUAGGACUUUCACAGUGUUCUGGAGGAGGACCUCUGGAUGCUCCCUGCUUCUUGCUACGUGUUUGGGCAGACAGCACCCCGAGAGGCGAGUUGGCUCCAUCUGCGAUUUGGAAUUACGUGAAGAGAAAAUAUAAGGGGAUACGAAAACCAUGGUGACAAUCUUGGAAAAUGAGAUUAAGUCACAGCUGUAUAAGUUUUUUUAUGUGCUCUUACACACAACUGAUAGCAACAAAGAGAGCCACCUGUUUCCAGUCAGACACUGCCAAAUCUUUCAGAAGGAAAUUGGGACACGGAGAAAAAGUACCCGCUUUUUCAGUAAACUUACCCAACGGGAGAAGAAGCACCUUCCCCCGUGGACCUCAUCGAAACUCCUGGAUGGGGCCGUCCCAGGAGCUGCGAGCCUUGCUGCACCGGGUCUGAAGACUCAUGCAUUCUCCAGGCCUCUGCGAAGACACCGGUUUGUCCUUUGA